GUUGGUGAACCAGCGGAGGGAUCAUUAAAGAGUUGCAAAACUCCCAAACCAUUGUGAACUUACCUUCAACGUUGCUUCGGCGGGUUGGCCCCGGUCUCCGGGGUCCCCGGCCCUACUCGGGCGCCCGCCGGAGGUAUCUAACUCUUGAACUUUUAUGGCCUCUCUGAGUCUUUGUACUUAAUAAGUCAAAACUUUCAACAACGGAUCUCUUGGUUCUGGCAUCGAUGAAGAACGCAGCAUCUGACUGACU
rnacentral:misc_RNA from 1 species